GAUUUAACAGGGAUGUAAGAAACACCUUACUGGAUCACCCAGAUGGUCCCUCCAAUCAGUAUUCUGACUCCAGCAGUGGCAGCAGGAUUCCGGGCAAAUAUGUGAGCCUACCAUUUUCCACAGCCCAUUCCCACUCAUACAUCCCCAGAAUCGAGUCACCUCAUUCGGAAGUUGGAAUUUUCCCCAUUGUGGUCUCCUUAACUUUUCUACUGAGCCAUGCAGAGAUUUUAUUGAAGUGCUUGUUUUCUUGUUGAAACAAGGCAGUUUACCAGGGCUUCUAAUACAAUAUUUGUAACAAUAUCAAUACAAUAAUACUACUGCUGCAUGAGUCCUGAAAUACCUAUAUGGUAUUUAAAACAAAAGAAGUGUCUAGAUAUAUUUCCCUUUACCUGACCUCCAGCCAUUCAUUAUAACCUUGAAUGCAGAGCAUCUGACUCAGCUGCUCUCUUUCUACACUGGGAGAAACUGCCUGCCUGCUGAUAGCAUUUUUUCUCUAUGUCCUCAGAUACCUGCCAGCGCCCACAGCCCUCUUUCUAGCCUAGCAUCUUCCUUUAGCUUAUAUUUAGACUUUGAGGAGUAAAUUGUUUUUAGCCUGCCAGGUAUCAGAAAGGGUAAAUUCCCCAACAAACAGCACCCUCACUGCGUUUUCAAGGAUUAAUGCUGCUUUGCUUUUCUUGCUGGCCCUGUUACAUCUUCUAUUUGAUUUAACUCUCUGCGCUGAGGCAAAAUAAGACCUCAUCAGUAAUCCUUAUCUUACAUGGUUCCACGACUCCCUUCAGCGUUUCUGUAUUUUUUUGAGAUGGCUGCACCCAGAACUGAAAUCCAGCGAGCACCUUCUGUGAAGAGGCACCUGGCUGCGUCCCCACGAGGGAUCCAAGGCCACAACUCCUCGCGUCGCACCAGAAGCGGCUCUGUGUCCCACCGAGCGUGCUCUUGCCCACUUGCAUGGGUGACGUGUGACAAGAGUCUCGGCACCUCUGGUUUCCCCCCCAGCGCCAGGGCUGGUCUUGGGGCACCUCGUUCCUCCCCGGGGGGGGGGGGGCCUGAUCCUGGCCCGCUGUGCCGGGACAAACUUCAGGUGGGCUCGGCCAAGGGCUGCCGCGUGCGUGAUCCGACGCUGUACGGGCAGCUCUGGUGCUACAGAGCUCUGGGGCGAGCCGAAAGCUGCGCCGGAGCUGCUGUUAGGGGCUGAGUACGCAGGCGAGGGUCUUUCAUCCGAUUUCCAUCUUCCCGUCCUAUUUCUGCACUAGCUGGCCCGUGGUGCGCGCACCAAAGGCCACAAGGGGAUUCUUGGCAGGCCGUGACCUAUCCCGACCUGCCAGAAUAAUAAUAAUAAAAAAAAUAAUAAUUUUUAAUUUUA